rnacentral:lncRNA from 1 species
ACGCGAGGGCCGGCUGCUGGAAGGCGACGGCAGAUCCGAGGUCCGAUGGCCGAAGCUGACCAAUGAAAUGUCAACUGUGAUUGGCGAAUUCAGUCCUCGCAGACUCGCGGCCAUCCAUGUUGGACACUUGGACGGGACUUCUUAAGUACAGUAGUCAUGUUUUCAAGACAAGGACUUGAAUAUUUUUUAGAGUUUUUUUUUAUGAUUGUUGUUAAGUCAUCUAUAUUCUGAAAAUAGUGCAAA